GAUGAACGCUGGCGGCGUGCCUAAUACAUGCAAGUCGAGCGAAUGGAUUAAGAGCUUGCUCUUAUGAAGUUAGCGGCGGACGGGUGAGUAACACGUGGGUAACCUGCCCAUAAGACUGGGAUAACUCCGGGAAACCGGGGCUAAUACCGGAUAACAUUUUGAACCGCAUGGUACGAAAUUGAAAGGCGGCUUCGGCUGGCACGUAUGGAUGGACCCGGGUCGCAUUAGCUAGUUGGUGAGGUAACGGCUCACCAAGGCAACGAUGCGUAGCCGACCUGGGAGGGUGAUCGGCCACACUGGGACUGAGACACGGCCCAGACUCCUACGGGAGGCAGCAGUAGGGAAUCUUCCGCAAUGGACGAAAGUCUGACGGAGCAACGCCGCGUGAGUGAUGAAGGCUUUCGGGUCGUAAAACUCUGUAGUUAGGGAAGAACAAGUGCUAGUUGAAUAAGCUGGCACCUUGACGGUACCUAACCAGAAAGCCACGGCUAACUACGUGCCAGCCGCCGCGGUAA
rnacentral:rRNA from 1 species